rnacentral:misc_RNA from 1 species
GUCGCUAUGUGCGCGAUGUUAGAGAUAUCAAAGAAUGCACGACUAAAGGAGCUUGGAUGGAAAUUGCUUUUACAGGUUCAUGAUGAAGUUAUUUUGGAAGGACCAGAAGAAUCUGAGGAAGAAGCCAUGGCAAUAGUGGUUCACUGCAUGUCCAAUCCUUUUAAUGGGAAAAAUAUUCUCAGAGUUGGCUUAUCUGUCGAUGCUAAAUGUGCUAAAAACUGGUAUUCUGCCAAGUAGAUGGUGGAUUUCAUCAACAAAGAUACGCAAACUUCUAUCAACUCG